UACGGGGGGGGCAAGCGUUGUUCGGAAUUACUGGGCGUAAAGGGCGCGUAGGCGGCUCGCUAAGUCGGGUGUGAAAACUCUGGGCUCAACCCAGAGCCUGCAUUCGAAACUGUCGAGCUAGAGUUCUGGAGGGGAAAGCGGAAUUCCUGGUGUAGCGGUGAAAUGCGUAGAUAUCGAGGAGAACGAGCCGGUGGCGGAAGGCGGGUCUCUGGGACGGUACUGACGACUGGAGAACGCGAAA
rnacentral:rRNA from 1 species